UACGGGGGGGGCAAGCGUUGUUCGGAAUUACUGGGCGUAAAGGGCUCGUAGGCGGCCAACUAAGUCAGACGUGAAAUCCCUCGGCUUAACCGGGGAACUGCGUCUGAUACUGGAUGGCUUGAGUUUGGGAGAGGGAUGCGGAAUUCCAGGUGUAGCGGUGAAAUGCGCAGAUAUCAGGAGGAACACCGAUGGCGAAGGCAGCUCGCUGGGACGGUACUGACGCUGAGGCGCGAAAGCGUGGGGAGCAAACAGG
rnacentral:rRNA from 1 species